UUGGAGGGCAAGUCUGGUGCCAGCAGCCGCGGUAAUUCCAGCUCCAAUAGCGUAUAUUAAAUUAAAAAGCUCGUAGUUGAAUUUCGGGGUCAGCAGGUUGGUCGUGCCACUGGUAUGCACUGGUUUCGCUGAUUCCUCCUUUCUGAAGAACUGUAAUGCCAUUAAUUUGGUGUUGCAGGGAAACAGGACUGUUACUUUGAAAAAAUUAGAGUGUUUAAAGCAGGCUAACGCUUGAAUACAUUAGCAUGGAAUAAUGAAAUAGGACGUUUGAUCCUAUUUUGUUGGUUUCUAGGAUUGACGUAAUGAUUAAUAGGGACAGUUGGGGGCAUUAGUAUUCAAUUGUCAGAGGUGAAAUUCUUGGAUUUAUUGAAGACUAACUACUGCGAAAGCAUUUGCCAAGGAUGUUUUCAUUAAUCAAGAACGAAAGUUAGGGGAUCGAAGACGAUCAGAUACCGUCGUAGUCUUAACCAUAAACUAUGCCGACUAGGGAUCGGAUGAUGUUAAUUUUUUAAUGACUCAUUCGGCGCCUUACGGGAAAC
rnacentral:rRNA from 1 species